AUGCAGGAAAUGAAGAAGAAAUGGCACUCUAAUAUUUCUGUUUGGGAAGCUGGAUUGACCACUCAGCUAUUAGCUAGAGUCACAGCUUUGGAAUGUGCCCUUCUAUUAUUACAAAUACUGGCUGCAUUAGAUUGGGUCCAAACUGCUCAUCCAUCGAUUGAUUUAGGUCACACCAUGGAGGAGCAGCCAAGCAGCUGGAGACUGUCCAAUGGCCACACUCCACCCCAAGUAUUUUCUGAGAUGAGAAAAUUACCCUUUGGCUGCUUCUCAACUUGCUUUUCUUGCUUGUAACCUUGAGUUGGUCUCUUUCUGUGGGAAACAUUAGUGGCAUUUGCCAAAAGCGCUGCUGCUGUGAGCCAGAUGUCCUGCUGUGUCACACAAACCACACGUACACGUCUCUUCAACCUGUAAACCCAGACCUAAUUUCACUAGAGCCUCAAACGAAUUCCUCACUGGCA
rnacentral:lncRNA from 1 species